UAUGCACACAAACCCAAAGGACAUUAUAAACCUGUGUGAUGCUCUUGUCAUGUGUGCUCAAAUCAAAGAAGCACCUUGUCGCCUUUCAUAAGCUGCUGUGCCAGUGGAAGUGAAAUCAAGGUUCAACACCA